rnacentral:rRNA from 1 species
UAGAGGUUUUGAUCCUGGCUCAGAACGAACGCUGGCGGCAUGCCUAACACAUGCAAGUCGAACGAGCCCUUAGGGUCUAGUGGCGCACGGGUGAGUAACGCGUGGGAAUCUGCCCUUGGGUUCGGAACAACACAGGGAAACUUGUGCUAAUACCGGAUAAUCCCUUCGGGCCAAAGAUUUAUCGCCCAAGGAUGAGCCCGCGUAGGAUUAGCUAGUUGGUGAGGUAAAGGCUCACCAAGGCGACGAUCCGUAGCUGGUCUGAGAGGAUGAUCAGCCACACUGGGACUGAGACACGGCCCAGACUCCUACGGGAGGCAGCAGUGGGGAAUAUUGGACAAUGGGCGAAAGCCUGAUCCAGCCAUGCCGCGUGAGUGAUGAAGGCCUUAGGGUUGUAAAGCUCUUUUGCCCGGGAUGAUAAUGACGGUACCGGGAGAAUAAGUCU